rnacentral:rRNA from 6 species
UUAAGCGACUAAGCGUACACGGUGGAUGCCCUGGCAGUCAGAGGCGAUGAAGGACGUGCUAAUCUGCGAUAAGCGUCGGUAAGGUGAUAUGAACCGUUAUAACCGGCGAUUUCCGAAUGGGGAAACCCAGUGUGUUUCGACACACUAUCAUUAACUGAAUCCAUAGGUUAAUGAGGCGAACCGGGGGAACUGAAACAUCUAAGUACCCCGAGGAAAAGAAAUCAACCGAGAUUCCCCCAGUAGCGGCGAGCGAACGGGGAGCAGCCCAGAGCCUGAAUCAGUGUGUGUGUUAGUGGAAGCGUCUGGAAAGGCGCGCGAUACAGGGUGACAGCCCCGUACACAAAAAUGCACAUGCUGUGAGCUCGAUGAGUAGGGCGGGACACGUGGUAUCCUGUCUGAAUAUGGGGGGACCAUCCUCCAAGGCUAAAUACUCCUGACUGACCGAUAGUGAACCAGUACCGUGAGGGAAAGGCGAAAAGAACCCCGGCGAGGGGAGUGAAAAAGAACCUGAAACCGUGUACGUACAAGCAGUGGGAGCACGCUUAGGCGUGUGACUGCGUACCUUUUGUAUAAUGGGUCAGCGACUUAUAUUCUGUAGCAAGGUUAACCGAAUAGGGGAGCCGAAGGGAAACCGAGUCUUAACUGGGCGUUAAGUUGCAGGGUAUAGACCCGAAACCCGGUGAUCUAGCCAUGGGCAGGUUGAAGGUUGGGUAACACUAACUGGAGGACCGAACCGACUAAUGUUGAAAAAUUAGCGGAUGACUUGUGGCUGGGGGUGAAAGGCCAAUCAAACCGGGAGAUAGCUGGUUCUCCCCGAAAGCUAUUUAGGUAGCGCCUCGUGAAUUCAUCUCCGGGGGUAGAGCACUGUUUCGGCAAGGGGGUCAUCCCGACUUACCAACCCGAUGCAAACUGCGAAUACCGGAGAAUGUUAUCACGGGAGACACACGGCGGGUGCUAACGUCCGUCGUGAAGAGGGAAACAACCCAGACCGCCAGCUAAGGUCCCAAAGUCAUGGUUAAGUGGGAAACGAUGUGGGAAGGCCCAGACAGCCAGGAUGUUGGCUUAGAAGCAGCCAUCAUUUAAAGAAAGCGUAAUAGCUCACUGGUCGAGUCGGCCUGCGCGGAAGAUGUAACGGGGCUAAACCAUGCACCGAAGCUGCGGCAGCGACGCUGAUGCGUUGUUGGGUAGGGGAGCGUUCUGUAAGCCUGCGAAGGUGUGCUGUGAGGCAUGCUGGAGGUAUCAGAAGUGCGAAUGCUGACAUAAGUAACGAUAAAGCGGGUGAAAAGCCCGCUCGCCGGAAGACCAAGGGUUCCUGUCCAACGUUAAUCGGGGCAGGGUGAGUCGACCCCUAAGGCGAGGCCGAAAGGCGUAGUCGAUGGGAAACAGGUUAAUAUUCCUGUACUUGGUGUUACUGCGAAGGGGGGACGGAGAAGGCUAUGUUGGCCGGGCGACGGUUGUCCCGGUUUAAGCGUGUAGGCUGGUUUUCCAGGCAAAUCCGGAAAAUCAAGGCUGAGGCGUGAUGACGAGGCACUACGGUGCUGAAGCAACAAAUGCCCUGCUUCCAGGAAAAGCCUCUAAGCAUCAGGUAACAUCAAAUCGUACCCCAAACCGACACAGGUGGUCAGGUAGAGAAUACCAAGGCGCUUGAGAGAACUCGGGUGAAGGAACUAGGCAAAAUGGUGCCGUAACUUCGGGAGAAGGCACGCUGAUAUGUAGGUGAAGCGACUUGCUCGUGGAGCUGAAAUCAGUCGAAGAUACCAGCUGGCUGCAACUGUUUAUUAAAAACACAGCACUGUGCAAACACGAAAGUGGACGUAUACGGUGUGACGCCUGCCCGGUGCCGGAAGGUUAAUUGAUGGGGUCAGCGCAAGCGAAGCUCUUGAUCGAAGCCCCGGUAAACGGCGGCCGUAACUAUAACGGUCCUAAGGUAGCGAAAUUCCUUGUCGGGUAAGUUCCGACCUGCACGAAUGGCGUAAUGAUGGCCAGGCUGUCUCCACCCGAGACUCAGUGAAAUUGAACUCGCUGUGAAGAUGCAGUGUACCCGCGGCAAGACGGAAAGACCCCGUGAACCUUUACUAUAGCUUGACACUGAACAUUGAGCCUUGAUGUGUAGGAUAGGUGGGAGGCUUUGAAGUGUGGACGCCAGUCUGCAUGGAGCCGACCUUGAAAUACCACCCUUUAAUGUUUGAUGUUCUAACGUGGACCCGUAAUCCGGGUUGCGGACAGUGUCUGGUGGGUAGUUUGACUGGGGCGGUCUCCUCCUAAAGAGUAACGGAGGAGCACGAAGGUUGGCUAAUCCUGGUCGGACAUCAGGAGGUUAGUGCAAUGGCAUAAGCCAGCUUGACUGCGAGCGUGACGGCGCGAGCAGGUGCGAAAGCAGGUCAUAGUGAUCCGGUGGUUCUGAAUGGAAGGGCCAUCGCUCAACGGAUAAAAGGUACUCCGGGGAUAACAGGCUGAUACCGCCCAAGAGUUCAUAUCGACGGCGGUGUUUGGCACCUCGAUGUCGGCUCAUCACAUCCUGGGGCUGAAGUAGGUCCCAAGGGUAUGGCUGUUCGCCAUUUAAAGUGGUACGCGAGCUGGGUUUAGAACGUCGUGAGACAGUUCGGUCCCUAUCUGCCGUGGGCGCUGGAGAACUGAGGGGGGCUGCUCCUAGUACGAGAGGACCGGAGUGGACGCAUCACUGGUGUUCGGGUUGUCAUGCCAAUGGCACUGCCCGGUAGCUAAAUGCGGAAGAGAUAAGUGCUGAAAGCAUCUAAGCACGAAACUUGCCCCGAGAUGAGUUCUCCCUGACUCCUUGAGAGUCCUGAAGGAACGUUGAAGACGACGACGUUGAUAGGCCGGGUGUGUAAGCGCAGCGAUGCGUUGAGCUAACCGGUACUAAUGAACCGUGAGGCUUAACCUU